rnacentral:rRNA from 2 species
UGGGGAAUUUUGCACAAUGGGGGAAACCCUGAUGCAGCGACGCCGCGUGAUUUAGAAGGCCUUCGGGUUGUAAAAAUCUUUUCUAUGGGAAGAAAAUGACAGUACCAUAGGAAUAAGGACCGGCUAAUUACGUGCCAGCCGCCGCGGUAAUACGUAAGGUCCGAGCGUUGUCCGGAAUCAUUGGGCGUAAAGGGUACGUAGGCGGGUAAGCAAGUUAGAAGUGAAAUCCUAUAGCUCAACUAUAGUAAGCUUUUAAAACUGCUCAUCUUGAGGUAUGGAAGGGAAAGUGGAAUUCCUAGUGUAGCGGUGAAAUGCGCAGAUAUUAGGAGGAAUACCGGUGGCGAAGGCGACUUUCUGGCCAUAACCUGACGCUGAGGUACGAAAGCGUGGGUAGCAAACAGG